GUUUUUUCUAUCCCCGCUCGUCGCCCGUGAUGUAGUAACUCCCCUCUCAAACAGUAGGAAUAUUGCAUUCAGUUUCAUGCCUUUUUGUUACUGAACUUCUUCGGUUACCUUUUUCCUGUUAUAAAUUUCAGUUAUUUGCAGGAGAUUCUGUUUUUUUUUAUUGUCAUUAUUAUUUUGAAGAGGAUGUAUGCGAUUUAUAAACAAACACACCCUCCGACAGGAGUCGAACACUGCGUGUACUGUCAAAUAUUUUCGUUAGCUGAAACAAUCUUGUUGCGGUGGGGACAUCACAGCUUCGUAUUUACCAGUUUUAUACCCAAGACGAGCAUAAUUUAACAGGAUCAACAUCAUCAGACAAGACAGGAGAGUUGUAAUCAAGAGUAUUUUUAGCCUCCUUUGGUGUGUGUGGAUCUUGAUCAACGCUGUGCAGUGAUGCUUAUCUGUGACACACAUAUUGUGGUUUUACUGUUUAGACAUGAUGGAGUGUUAGAGGAACAUGAGCAGGGAGGAACUUUUACAGCAAGGUACAUCAACCAACCAUCAGUUGGUUCAUUGCUCAUUGAAGAAUGUGUGGGGGCAGAGUUUUCGCAAUCUUCUGAACUCGAGAGAAUUUUUAUAACUUCGAGCAGACUAGCCUUUUCCAUUUCAAGGUUGUCGAUGAUUGACUUGUAAGUUGAACACUUGAGUCGAAGCUCAUUUAGCUCUAGCAGUAAUUCGGACUGAUGGUUCUUGUGUGUUGUUGGUAAUACAUUAGACUUUAUGCUAUCAAUUUCUGACCAAAUUUUAGCAAUUUCACUUGAAAACUUCUCACCCAUGUUACUGGUAGUAAUUAACACCUCAAUGGAGUCGGCAGUGGUUUUGAAAUUAUUCAAAAAACAACUAGUUCCACCAUCUGUAGCAUCGGUGUCGGACUUUUCAUCUGCCAUUAAAUUUAGCUCUUCUUCUUGCUGAUCCUUGGCUUCUUGUCUAAGGUGUUGUGAACUACUUCAUUUGAAGUAAUGGCGGAGCUUGCAUCUAUGUCAAGUUGUAUAGCUUCUUACUUGUAUAUGCCAGAAGGAAAGAACUAUUUCAGAACAAACAGACCUAGACCAAUUAGGAAUUAUUUGAUAUUAGUCCUGUGCCAUUAUACAUUAUAGAUAAGAAACAGUAAAUGUACUUUCAACACUCAAAUAGUUGUGCUUGCUCUGCAGAGAAUGAAAAUCCGUGGAGAACCCAUAAUCAUAACUGAGUUGGAGACAUAAUUUCCUCUGUGGAUAGAGGGUGAUGAUUCCACCCUUCUGUAAACUCUUGAAGAUGGGCAUUUAUUUAUUUAUUAAAACAAACAUGUAGAGAUCAAGUCAAUGUCCAAAAGUCCCUCAGAUUCUAUAUGGUCAAAAAGGUUAAGAAAACAACUCUCUCGAUGCUCAAUUUGCUGAUUAUGGCAACUUCUUUCAGCAAUAAACCUUUCAUGAUCUGGCCCUCUAUCUGGAUGUGUUUGUAGAUACCAAGAGACGUCAAUGUUUUCCAUGCCUUAGUCAGCUUGCAGUCUUGAUUUUCUUCAACUGCAGAAUUUAAAAGUUGAAGGACAGCUGCUACUUUGUUGCUACAACUGCAGUGCAAGUACAUGAUAAGUCUGAGUAUCCAUCUAUGCCACCCUGUAUUACAAACCCCCACCUAAAAAUAAAUUAGACAUGCUUGCUUGAUAUCAGUCAUCAACACAAGCACUAAAAGACAAACAUUUUAAGGACAGUGGACACAUUACACUCAAUUUCAGGAGAACAUUAAAAAGGUGCAUCAAUUGUGCAUGCAAAUAUUAAAUAAAUAAUUUUUCAAAUAUUACGCCAAACUGCCUGUUCAGCUUUGCUCUUCUUUGGUGAAUCAGUAACAUUUCUUGGAUAAAGCAACCUAAUUUUCCUUACAUGGAAAACUGUUUAUCAGCUAUUGAGGGUCUUGACACCAUGAUCAUUCAUAUGUUUGCCAAACAAAUAGAAGAUUUGUGAUUACCUGCAACAGACAGUAGCUACCUUAUUAAUUUGUGGUUUCCAUUGAUAUGCCACAGUGAAAGCGGGGCCUGGACAAAGUAAGUUCUGCAUCUGACUGCCAUAAGCUGUAACGCCCACAUUAAAAUUUCUUCGAGACACAACCUUCUCAUGCUGUCCUGAAUACGAUCCCAUUGCACUUUAUGACCUCUUGGAUGAAGGUGCCCACACAUGUUCCAAUACCCACAUCUGGGAAUGGUCUUCAGAACAUCUGAGCUUUUGAACAAAUAGAUAAGUGAAGCAUGAAAAAGAUAUUUCAGUGGUGGCUUCAGUGGUGGCUUCAGGGAUGGGGUUUUGGGGACUGCACUGCCCCCCUUCUCCCAUGAGAAAAUGAAAAUACAGGAACUUUCUUGUUGUGUAAUCACUCUAGGAUUUCUUCAUAGUCUCCUUGCUACUAUAGGAGCUGAGAUCAACUUACAGCCUCAUCCCUUCCCCUUUUACAAAAUCAAAAAACUAAGAUUUUUUUUGAGUAUUGGUUCACCAAUACUUCAUUUACUUAAGUUCUAUGCUUGUGACAUCAUCUAAAAAUACAUUGUUA